rnacentral:rRNA from 1 species
UGGGGAAUAUUGCACAAUGGGCGCAAGCCUGAUGCAGCCAUGCCGCGGGUGUGAAGAAGGCCUUCGGGUUGUAAAGCACUUCCAGCGGGGAGGAAGGCGAUAAGGUUAAUAACCUCAUCGAUUGACGUUACCCGCAGAAGAAGCACCGGCUAACUCCGUGCCAGCAGCCGCGGUAAUACGGAGGGUGCAAGCGUUAAUCGGAAUUACUGGGUGUAACGCGCACGCAGGCGGUCUGUCAAGUCGGAUGUGAAAUCCCCGGGCUCAACCUGGGAACUGCAUUCGAAACUGGCAGGCUAGAGUCGUGUAGAGGGGGGUAGAAUUCCAGGUGUAGCGGUGAAAUGCGUAGAGAUCUGGAGGAAUACCGGUGGCGAAGGCGGCCCCCUGGACAAAGACUGACGCUCAGGUGCGAAAGCGUGGGGAGCAAACAGG